rnacentral:rRNA from 1 species
UGGUGCAUGGUUGUCGUCAGCUCGUGUCGUGAGAUGUUGGGUUAAGUCCCGCAACGAGCGCAACCCUCGACCUUAGUUGCCAGCAUUCAGUUGGGCACUCUAAGGUGACUGCCGGCUAAAAGUCGGAGGAAGGUGGGGAUGACGUCAAAUCAUCAUGCCCCUUAUGACCUGGGCUACACACGUGCUACAAUGGGCGGUACAAAGGGUCGCGAACCCGCGAGGGGGGAGCCAAUCCCAAAAAGCCGCUCUCAGUUCGGAUUGCAGGCUGCAACUCGCCUGCAUGAAGCCGGAAUCGCUAGUAAUCGCGGAUCAGCAUGCCGCGGUGAAUACGUUCCCGGGCCUU